rnacentral:rRNA from 1 species
UGGCGAACGGGUGAGUAACACGUGGGUGAUCUGCCCUGCACUCUGGGAUAAGCCUGGGAAACUGGGUCUAAUACCGGAUAGGACCAUGCUUUAGUGUGUGUGGUGGAAAGUUUUUUCGGUGUAGGAUGAGCCCGCGGCCUAUCAGCUUGUUGGUGGGGUAAUGGCCUACCAAGGCGGCGACGGAUAGCCGGACUGAGAGGUUGGUCGGCCACAUUGGGACUGAGAUACGGCCCAG